rnacentral:pre_miRNA from 13 species
GUUUUUCUCCUGGUAUCCACUGUAGGCCUAUAUGUAUUUCCACCAUAAGGCACGCGGUGAAUGCCAAGAGCGAACGC